UACGGGGGGGGCAAGCGUUGUUCGGAAUUACUGGGCGUAAAGGGCUCGUAGGCGGCCAACUAAGUCGGACGUGAAAUCCCCAGGCUCAACUUGGGAACUGCGUCCGAUACUGGAUGGCUUGAAUUCGGGAGAGGGAUGCAGAAUUCCAGGUGUAGCGGUGAAAUUCGUAGAUAUUCGGAAGAACACCAGUGGCGAAGGCGGCUCACUGGCCCGGUACUGACGCUGAGGUGCGAAAGCGUGGGGAGCAAACAGG
rnacentral:rRNA from 1 species